rnacentral:rRNA from 1 species
CGGACGGGUGAGUAAUGUCUGGGAAACUGCCCGAUGGAGGGGGAUAACUACUGGAAACGGUAGCUAAUACCGCAUAACGUCGCAAGACCAAGAGGGGACCUUCGGGCCUCUUGCCAUCGGAUGUGUCCAGAUGGGAUUAGCUAGUAGGUGGGGUAACGGCUCACCUAGGCGACGAUCCCUAGCUGGUCUGAGAGGAUGACCAGCCACACUGGAACUGAGACACGGUCCAG